ACCCUCUGUGGAUAGCACCUGGAGAGUUUCCAGUAGUCUGUCAGUCUCGGUUACGGGAGGGAGAGUCAAGCAGAGGCACACCCAUUCCAUUACUAACUGGGACAGUGGCUAGCAAUUGGAAGACAAUCUGCUACAAGU